UAAUAUUUAGCCGAAAGGUUCAAUCACGUUAACAAAUUUUUUGGUUUUCUUACCUUUAAGUAAGCCCAGCCCGCUCUGGUGAGUUCGGCAGUGUACCUCGUGGGGAAGACCGGCGUGGUGGCCUCGAGGAUCCUCUGCGCCCAGAUCCGUCUCUCGGCGAUACCCUUCGCGUAGAAAACGUGCACGCUCGGUCUGCCCGCGCCGCUAAUCGCCACGCAAUGCACCGUCUCGCCGUCCACGGUUCUGCGCACAUUUCGCAAUUAUCUUCACUCGCGAGGCGAAAUAAUGACGCGCGUACGACGGGAGUUGAAGGGAACGACAUAAUAAAGAUAUAUGCGCAGAAUAGAAUCGAGAGACACGAUCUUGUCUGGCGCCAAGACACCCUCAGAGGGAGGAUUUAGCUGCUAAAAACCCGACAUAUUCUCCGAUCCUUCCUCGAGGACCAGGAAGAUUUACGCGAGAUUUUUAAAAAAAAGCUAUAGCAUAACAAGACGUGUUUAUAUACCUUAGAUGUGGACUUAGAAUGGGGCCCCUAAUAGGCUUAAUCGAUAGACACAAAAGAUAGACGCGUCGAUAUAUAGCGAAGACUGCGCAUUUAUGAAGAUCGGGGUUACGGAUUUAUGUCGCAAAUAUUUUUUAUACGUGACUUGGUUUCUCGGAAAAAGCUCGAAAGGAAAGGAGCUGUGAUAAUACUGCGUUUCAAGGGAAUCGCAAUAAUUUAUCGCUCGAUAGCGCGAGAGCUACGCAAGGUCGGAUCGUUACGCUCGAAAAAAACUUCUCUCUCGUGAGAUCCUUUUCUUCCCGUUUAACAAAGAGGACCUUGAGACCUCUCUCGUAGAGAGUGACGCCUCUGCGAGGGGAACGUGUGUACGUCUGGCCAGCUAGUCUUAACACUUGGACUCGCGGCCCGAUGCAAAUGUAUAUACCGAGCGCGAGAAUGAGUCAUACAUUAUAUAUUAUUUGAACAUAAUGAACUGUCUGAAUCUCCGAAUCGAGAUUGGUAUCUAGACCUAUAACAUUCGUAAUCGGGAGAAAGCGUGGAAUAUAUAUCUCCAGGUUAUUCCCGCAGAAUAAACAUCAGAUACACUUUCGACGGAAUACAGAAUAACAUAAUUUCUGGGGGAUGUGAUAAAUCGCGGAAGUUGGAUGUAUAUAACUUUUUCUCUCUUCAAAGAAGCGUGGAAAAAUAUUCAUCAUCACGUAUCGCACACGCUAUUGUGCAUAUCGCGUGUGUUUAUAAAAUAAAAUAACUCACUUGACAUCCUGAAGCAGAUGAAUACUGUGCACUGUCUCCAGUUCCACGACCUCUUUCACCGUAGACAUGCUCUUGUCAGUGUAGAACGAUAAUUUCCGAUCGAGCAACACUGCAGCUCUCGGCACGAGGUCCUUGGCCCUUUCGAUGCCCAUUCCCGGCCUCCGCAGGAAAUGAUGAUAUUUUUAAUUAAUACCGAUUAUAACGCAACCGCUCGGUUUAAACUGACUAGUGUUACUCGAUUAUUCAGAGAUUAAAACUGGAAAUAUUACUCAAUUGAUUAUUAAAGUUAUAUUAUCAAAAUCGCGUCUUCCUCUUCUUCUAAAUAUUUAUCCAAUAUAUCUUUUUCGAUCACUUAUAGAACGUUUUUCUCAAUUUUUCUAAAUUGGUUCCAGUUUUGUUUGAAAAAAAAUGUGGGACCGGAAAAAGAGCACGAUCUCUCGCAAAAGUUUACGUUUCUUCUCACCUGUACACCAUUCCUCUGUGUGUGACCGGAUUGUGCGGAACAUUGACCUUUGGCCUCUCCAUUCGCAACGACCUCGAGCCGGACUCGCCGAUGUGCUCGCGAGUUCUGGACAACAAUUUACUGCCGCUCUUCACAAAACUAAUCACGUUUGGCCUGAUGCCAUGUACGGUGGACUCCUGUCGCAGUUUUUUCAGCUUUUGUAUCACACUCACUUUACGAUUCUCCUCGCCAAUCUUCGGUGUGCCCGACAAAGGACUAGUGAUACUCUCCUCGACGUUAUUAUUGGCGGGUGACGUCAUCGUCGUCGCAGCCGAUUGAGGAAUCGAAGGAGUGUCCGUAGAAGGGAUCCUCGCGGAAGGUUUCCUGGGAGGAACUGCAGGCUGCUUUUUGGUCACCAAAUGUGCCAAUUUUGGCAAGAGAGGAGGAUUCUUACUCGACGCUUGGAUCCUGUCGGGCUGUUCCGUGCCUUCCGGUACGUCGUACUCGUUCUUCGGAAGAGAAUCGAAUCUCUUGGGUGGCUCCGGAGGUGUCGAACUGAUGCCAGGAUGCGUCAAGUCCUCGUCCUCCUGCUCUUCUUCAGCGCUUUCGCGAAAUUCGAGGGUGCUGUCAGCACUGCCGGAUGAAUCGUUGGUUGCCAACAAAGUCUCCAGUAACAUCAGAUCAUUGUUUUCGUAGUUACUGUAGACGUUCUCAUCCUCGGACGUCCUCGCGAAUGGAUCGAACUCGAAGAGUAGGGACUUGCUGCUCUGCUGCCUCGUAUCCGGGAAAUCCGGGGAAUGAUUGCCGGUUGUUGCUGGUAAUCGACCCUGGGCGGUGACAGAUUCUCGUAGAGAGAGUUUUGAAUGGAAGCCUGACUCUCGUUGGACGCGCAAGAGGUUCGGUCCAACGUUGUUGUGUCCCUCUCGAUGGACUUUUCCGAGCUUUCUUCUUCUACGCUAGAUACUCUGUCUACCUCGUCGGUAUUAAUGCUGGAUGUGGCAUCGUAGAAGGUCCAAGAGUCUGAUCUCGACAGUUUCUUGGCAGAGCUUUCAGAUCGAUCAAGUGACAGAUUUAUAUUGACGUCGGACAAGUUUAGGCUUUGGUCGGAAUCGCUGCCCUAAAGUGGAAAGAUCAAUAAUGGAAUGAGACAAGAAAUCACAAGAAGAAAGUAAGAUGAGACUUAAGGAUGAUUUUACCUGAUUUCGCGCGAAGCUGAGAAGAUUGAACGACUCGGGAAAGUCCCGCUCGACUUUGUCGGACACCGUGGAACUGAGAGUGUCGUAUCGGCCACUACUUCCCGACGUGACGGAUUGCAGCUCGUCGUAGAUAGACUCGUCCGGAAGUGGAGGCGGCGGAUAAACCGGAGGCGGCGGGCUGUGCCUGGCGGAUAAAUCCUCCUCGUUCUUCACACUCCUGAGAUUGCCACUUAACGGACUGUAAAACGAGAUACUGCUGAAAAUGUCGUCUGCCGGCAUUGACACGCAUCUGUCCUCCUCGGCCGGAUCGUUGAGCUUCUUCUGGACGACGUUGCCCUGGCCGACCACGUCGUCUUGAUUCAGAGAAGACAAUCGUCGCGUUAACAGGUUCUUCACCGACCUCUCCAACCGAAUGCUGGCGUUUCGCGUGCUGGAGAUGACGGCGCGCCCCUUCACCGUUACUUUCUCCGAAAUCUCGUCCUUCAACUGGCGCGAGCUCGUGCUGAGAUUGCGGAAGAACUCGUGAUUGCCGCGAGUGCUCUCCCCGGUCGACCUCUGGUCGUCGCUCUUCUCGGAUUGACCGGACUCGCUGGUUGGACUGCUGGAACGCGCCAUCGGCGAGGUGGUGGUCGACGUCAGGAUUCUCCGGGGCGCCGGUACCGGCCUGCUCUCGGGCAGAAUCGAUCGCGGUUUCGGUAUUGGUUUCACCUCCAUCGCGACUUCCUCCAAUUAGGCCGGCAGUAAUGUCGCUCCAGAAAUGAGUGUUCUCGGUAUUCUUCGACGCUAACCCAUUGAGAUCCUGAGACAUAUGAGAGUUCCUCUCAUUUUUUUAGGCGGUUCGAAUUUAUAUCAAUUUUAAACCAAUACGAGCUUUAAGCUGCGUCCUCACUAGAGCAACAACGAGCAAUUUUAUGUUGAUAUUCUGUUGCCAGCAACAACAGUUGUCGAACGAGCAACUUUUUGUCGCUUAUUAUUGUUGCUAAAUGUUUCAAAAUAAUUUGAUACAUGUCAAUGUUGCGGCAACAUUUUGUUGCCAUAUUAAAGAAACAUAAUUACAGGAACAUUUGGGUUUUGUUCCUAUUCCAGUUUUAACCGCGACUGUGUCACUGAAAAUUGAAGGUCCACAUUGAAGGACUUAUUCUUUUGCAUUUUCUUUUAUUUUUAUCGUUUCAAAUGGAAACACACAACAAAAACAGUAAGAAACUUUAAAAAACUUUCGGCAACAACUAGCAACUUUUUUAAGAAACCUGGAACAUGAACAAAAAGUUGCUCCAAUGAGGACACAGCUUUAGAUUUAAAGGGAUGAUAUACAAACAAUCACCAGAAGAUAAAGCAAGUUUUCUCUUGUCAUCUAACAUAUUUUAUUAUCGAAAAUUAUAGUCCUCGUAAAAAAAGAGAAACGUUCAGAUGAGAAAACUGGGUCUCCCGAGUACCGUUAUUAACCGGAUCUCCCAUCUAUUGUCCGCUUCCAGGAUUAAUCAAAUUGUUUCUCCGCGCUGGAGACGCAUGACAGAGCAUAUGAGCGACGCAAACAGAAAGGAAAUUAUGAAUUGUCCCAGUAUGAGUCAUCGUUCCGAAAGCCGAUACCGACGCCUGUAGUUUCCGGCUUUUAUUUCAGCUGACUGAUGAGAUAGUGUCGCGCAUCCAUCUGUUUUAAUAUCUGCACUUUAAUUUCACAUAUAUUGUCGCGCCUACUCGGUCUGUCACCUGCAUUUUCCACGUUUCAAAUGAAAUCGGCCCGUACUGAGUGUAGAGUGUUAUGUAAAAAUAAAUUAUGGAUGCACAUCGCAGUUUCGAAUAAAUUAUGUCUAAAAUACAGUGUUCCGCAUGUGAUCUCGUUG